UUUUUUUUUUUUUUUUUUUGGUGCAGCUGUGUAAAAGGGGUUUUCUUGACUUGAUUCUCAGCUUGUUCACUGUUGGUGGAUAGCAGUGCUACUGAUUUGUUUGUACAUUAAUUUUGUACCCAGAAGCUUUACUGAACUCAUUUAUCAGUUCUAGGAACUUUUUGGGUGAGUCUUUAGGGUUUUCUAGCUAUGUGUUCUUAUCAUUGGCAAACAUCACAGUUUGACAUUCUGUUUACCUAUUUGGAUGUCCUUUACUUUUUUCUCUUGUAUGACUGCUCUGGCUUGGACUUCCAGUGCUAUUUUGAAUAGAAGUGGUAAAAGCAGGUAUUUUUGUCCUAUUUCAGUCCUCAUGGGGAAUGUUUUCAACUUUUCCCCAUUCAGUAUAAUGUUGACUGUGGGUUUGUCAUGGACAGCUUUUAUUACCUUAAGGUAUGUCCCUUCUAUGCUGAUUUUGUUGUUUUUUAAUCAUAAAGGAUAAUGGAUUAUGUCAAAUGCUUUUUCUGUGUCUAUUGAGAUAAUCAUGUGAUUUUUAAUUCUGUUCAUGUGUUAUAUCACAUUUAUUGACUUGCAUAUGUUAAACUGAGAGGUGACAACGUGCUGGCAGACCUCACUCGCUCUCAGUGCCAACUUGGCCUCGGCGUCUGCUCUGGCCAUGCUUGAGGAGCCCUUCAGACUGCUGCUGCACUGGGGGAGCCCCUCUCUGGGCUGGCCAAGGCUGGAGCUGGCUCCCUCUGCUUGCAGUUAGGUGUGGAGGGAGAGGCAUGGGCGAGAACUGGGGCUGCGUGUGGUGCUCAUGGGCCAGGAUGAGUUCCGGGUGGGCGUGGGCUUGGCUGGCCCUGCACUUGGAGCAGCUGGCCGGUGCAGCCAGCCCUGGGCAGUGAGGGGCUUAGCACCUGGGUCAGCAGCUGUGGAGGGUGUGCCGGGUCCCUCAGCACUGCCAGCUUGCCCAUGCCACGCUCAAAUUCUGGCUGGGCCUCAGCUGCCUCCCUGCAGGGCAGGGCCCAGGACCUUCAGGCUGCCAUGCUCAAGCCACCCACUGUCCGUGGUCUCCCAUGCGGCCUGAGCCUCCCCAAAUGGGUGCCACCCCCUGCUCCUUGGUGCCCGGUCCCAUCAACCACCCAAGGGCUGAGGAGUGUGGGUGCAUGGCAUGGGACUGAUGGGAAGCUCCGCCCAUGGCCUGGGCAUGGCAUCCACUAGGCAAAGCCAGCUGGGCUCCUGAGUUGGGUGGGGACUUGGAGAACUUUUAUGUCUAGCUGGAGGAUUGUAUAUGCACCAGUCAGCACUCUGUGUCUAGCUCAGGGUUUGUGGAUGCACCAGUCCGCACUCUGUAUCUAGCUAAUCUGGUAGGGACUUGGAGAACUUUUAUGUAUAGUUAGAGGAUUGUAAAUGCACCAAUCAGCACUCUGUGUCUAGCUCAGGGAUUGUAAACGUACCAAUCAGCACUCUGUCAAAACGGACCAAUCACCUCUCUGUAAAAUGGACCAAUCAGCAGGAUGUGGGUGGGGUCUAUAAGGGAAUAAAAGCAGGCUGCCUGAGCCAGCAGUGGCAAGUUGCUGGAGACCCCUUUCACACUGUGGAAGCCUUGUUCUUUUGCUGUUUAUAAUAAAUCUUGCUGCUGCUCACUCUUUGGGUUCACACUGCUUUUAUGAGCUGUAACACUCACUGGGAAGGUCUGCAGCUUCACUCCUGAAGCCAGCGAGACCACGAACCCACCGGGAAGAACGAACAACUCCAGACGUGCUGCCUUUAAGAGUUAUAACACUCACUGUGAAGGUCUGCAGCUUCACUCCUGUCAGUGAGACCACGGACUCAUCAGAAGGAAGAAGCUCCAGACAUAUCUGAACAUCUGAAGGAACAAACUCCAGACACAACAUCUUUAAGAACUGUAACACUCACUGCAAGGGUCCGCGGCUUCAUUCUUGCAGUCAGUGAGACC
rnacentral:lncRNA from 1 species